AAAGAAGCCACUACAAUCUGAUAACAAGCAUUCUGAUGAGGAAGACUCGUCGAUUGCCUCUAGUUCUGUGGUCUCAGCAAGAAAAUCCAGGGCAACUGUUGCGUCGGCUCCAACAUUUCGGUCCUCUGAACGUGCAGCGAGAAGGAAGGAGUUUUACUCAAAGUUAGAGGAGAAACAUCUAGCUUUGGAGGCUGAGAAAAUUCAAUGCGAGGAAAGGACAAAGGUACAUGUUGUUUCUGCUUUACGUUGC